rnacentral:rRNA from 1 species
AACGAACGCUGGCGGCAGGCUUAACACAUGCAAGUCGAACGAACCUUUCGGGGUUAGUGGCGGACGGGUGAGUAACACGUGGGAACGUGCCUUUAGGUUCGGAAUAACUCAGGGAAACUUGUGCUAAUACCGAAUGUGCCCUUCGGGGGAAAGAUUUAUCGCCUUUAGAGCGGCCCGCGUCUGAUUAGCUAGUUGGUUGAGGUAAUGGCUCACCAAGGCGACGAUCAGUAGCUGGUCUGAGAGGAUGAUCAGCCACAUUGGGACUGAGACACGGCCCAAACUCCUACGGGAGGCAGCAGUGGGGAAUCUUGCGCAAUGGGCGAAAGCCUGACGCAGCCAUGCCGCGUGAAUGAUGAAGGUCUUAGGAUUGUAAAAUUCUUUCACCGGGGACGAUAAUGACGGUACCCGGAGAAGAAGCCCCGGCUAACUUCGUG